rnacentral:rRNA from 1 species
AUAUUGGACAUGGGGGAAACCCUGNUCCAGCAACGCCGCGUGGGUGAUGAAGCAUCUUGGUGUGUAAAACCCUGUCAGUGGGGACGAAACGUUGGAGGAGGAAAUGCCUUCGACCUGACUGUACCCGCAGAGGAAGUUCCGGCCAACUCCGUGCCAGCAGCCGCGGUAAUACCGGGGGGAACGAGCGUUGUUCGGAUUUACUGGGCGUAAAGGGCACGCAGGCGGGAAGACAAGUCAGAUGUGAAACCCCGAAGCUUAACUCCGGGCCUGCAUUUGAAACUGUUUUUCUUGAGUACGGGAGAGGAUGAUAGAAUUCUUGGUGUAGCGGUGAAAUGCGUAGAUAUCAAGAGGAAUACCGGUGGCGAAGGCGGUCAUCUGGCCCGAUACUGACGCUCAGGUGCGAAGGCCGGGGGAGCAAACAGGAUUAGAUACCCUGGUAGUCCCGGCAGUAAACCAUGGAUACUAGGUGUUGGCGGUAUCGACUCCGCCAGUGCCGCAGCUAACGCAUUAAGUAUCCCGCCUGGGGAGUACGCUCGCAAGAGUGAAACUCAAAAAAAUUGACGGA